rnacentral:rRNA from 1 species
GAUGAACGCUAGCUACAGGCUUAACACAUGCAAGUCGAGGGGUAACAAGAGGAAAGCUUGCUUUCCUUGUUGACGACCGGCGCACGGGUGAGUAACGCGUAUCCAACCUGCCUAUAACUAGGGAAUAACCUUGCGAAAGUAAGACUAAUACCCUAUGAUUUCCUUUGAUGACAUCAGAUUAGGAAUAAAGAUUUAUCGGUUAUAGAUGGGGAUGCGUCUGAUUAGCUUGUUGGCGGGGUAACGGCCCACCAAGGCAACGAUCAGUAGGGGUUCUGAGAGGAAGGUCCCCCACAUUGGAACUGAGACACGGUCCAAACUCCUACGGGGGGCAGCAGUGAGGAAUAUUGGUCAAUGGGCGGAAGCCUGAACCAGCCAAGUAGCGUGCAGGAUGACGGCCCUAUGGGUUGUAAACUGCUUUUAUACAGGAAUAAAGUUGGCCACGUGUGGUUAUUUGUAGGUACUGUAUGAAUAAGGACCGGCUAAUUCCGUGCCAGCAGCCGCGGUAA